rnacentral:lncRNA from 1 species
CAGUAUUUGUACCUAUGUGCCUGGUUCUGGGAGUGGAAGGAGAUGCUCUUGCAUACCUGGAUAUGAGAUGAAAAAUCGCACUGACCGAACUUAUGGAUGCAUACCAAAAUUCAAUCUUUCUUGCGACUCACAGAAGGUUGGUUUCCUCCUACUCCCACACGUUGACUUCUACGGCUAUGAUUAUGGCUAUUACCCUAAUUACACCUUAAAGAUGUGUGAAAAACUGUGCUUGGAAAUAUGUGGCUGCAUAGGAUUUCAAUACAGCUAUACUUCGGAUGUUUAUAAAUGUAAUCCUAAGCGGCUGUUGCUCAACGGAUACCGCUCGCCUAGUUUUGUAGGACAUAUAUAUCUAAAAUUGCCUAAAGCUAGUCUUCUUUCCUAUGAAAAACCGGUUAAGGAAUUCAUGUUAGAUUGCUCAGGCAACCGCUCAGAGCAGCUAGUAAAAUCUUAUGCAAAAGCCCACGAAAAUGAAGUGUUAUUAAAGUUCAUCCUCUGGUUUGCGUGCGCAAUUGGAGCAGUUGAGAUGGUUUGCAUCUGUAUGGUGUGGUGUUUCUUGAUGAAGGCCCAGCAAAACACCAGUACAGAUCCUCCAGGCUACAUUUUAGCUGCCACGGGAUUCAGAAAAUUCACCUAUACUGAGCUGAAGAAAGCAACACGGGGUUUCAGCGAGGAGAUUGGAAGAGGAGGAGGUGGGGUUGUAUAUAAAGGUGUCUUGUCAGACCACCGAGUGGCAGCCAUCAAGCAGCUCAGUGGAGCUAACCAAGGAGAAUCUGAAUUCUUGGCAGAAGUAAGUACCAUUGGGAGGUUUAACCACAUGAACUUGAUAGAGAUGUGGGGUUAUUGCUUUGUGGGGAAGCACAGGCUCUUGGUUUAUGAAUACAUGGAGCAUGGAUCACUAGCACAAAACCUCACUUCCAAUACACUUGAUUGGCAGAAGAGGUUCGAUAUUGCGGUGGGCACAGCAAAAGGCCUGGCUUAUUUACACGAAGAGUGCUUGGAGUGGGUUCUACACUGCGAUGUGAAGCCUCAAAACAUACUCCUAGACGUUAAUUGUCAGCCAAAAGUGGCAGACUUCGGCCUGUCAAAGUUACAGAACAGAGGAGGAAUCAACAAUUCGAGAUUGUCGAGGAUCAGAGGAACAAGAGGUUACAUGGCUCCAGAAUGGGUUUUGAACCUCCCCAUCACCUCCAAAGUAGACGUUUAUAGCUAUGGUAUUGUGGUUCUGGAGAUGGUUACCGGCCGAAGGAGUGCUUCAAUGGCCAUCCACGGUACAGAUGGCAUAGGGGAACGUCAGAGUUUGGUGGCAUGGGUGAAAGGGAAGAUGAAUGGAGCAACUGCAGUUGCUUCGUGGAUGAAAGAAAUCCUAGACCCGUCGAUGGAAGGCGAAUAUGACAUGGGUGAGAUGGAAAUUCUAGUAGCAGUGGCUUUGCAAUGUGUGGAAUUGGACAAGGAUGAAAGACCCACCAUGAGUCACGUGGUCGAGACGCUUCUCCGCCCUGAACGUGGAAACAAUCUUCACUACUAAUAAAUUAAUGCCUCGUAUGGGGCCCAAGUGAGGUGGCUUUCUGUCUUUUCUCAAUAGUACAGUAAUUUAAAAAAAUUAUGCUUAAAUUAUUGUAGUAGAAGAAGUUAUUACAAAUAUAUGGUAGUUUUUGCCACAUAGGAGAGAGGAGAGAGGGUGAGAGGGUGAGAGAGGAGAGAGGAGAGAGGGUGAGAGAGAGGAGAGAGGAGAGAGGGUGAACGGAUAAAUUUUUUUAAAAAAGGGAACUCGUCUCUUAAAGAGACGAGUUCCAUGAAAAAAAAAAUCCUAUUUACUCAAGGGAACUCGUCUUUUCAAGAGACAAGUUCCAUGAAAAAAGACAAGGGAAAGACGAGUUCCCAGGGAAAAAUAAUAUUUUUUUUUUUAAAUUAUUUUUUAUUUAAAAAAAAUCCUAAAUUAAAUUUAAAAAAAAAAAAUUUUCUAAAGGGAACUCGUCUCUUUGGGAAAUUUUUUUUUUUUUAAAUAUAUUUUUUAUUUAAAAAAAAACCCAAAUUAAAAAAAAAAAUUCCUAAAGGGAAUUCGUCUUUUCAAAAGACAAGUUCCCAUGUAAAAAAAUUUUUUUUUUUUUAAAUAUAUAUAUAUUUUUUUAAAAAAAUUUCCUAAAGGGAACUCGUCUCUUGAAGAGACGAGUUCCAUGGGAAAAAAAAUAUUUUUUUUUUAAAAUAUAUUUUUUGUUUUAAAAAAAAUCUCAAAUUAAAAAAAAUAAAAAAAAAUCGAAGAGACGAGAAAAAAAAUAUUUUUUUUUAAAAUAUAAGAGACGAGUUCCCUUUAGGAAUUUUUUUUUUUUAAUUUGGGAUUUUUUUUAAAUAAAAAAUAUAUUUUAAAAAAAAUAUUUUUUUUUUCCUAUGGGAACUCGUCUCUUCAAGAGACGAGUUCCCUUUAGGAAUUUUUUUUUAAAUAUAUAUAUUUUAAAAAAAUAUAUAUAUAUUUUUUUACAUGAGAACUCGUCUCUUCAAGAGACGAGUUCCCUUUAGGAAUUGUUUUUUUUUUUUAAUUUAUUUAAUAUAUAUUUAAAAAAAAAAAUUUUACAUGGGAACUCGUCUCUUGAAGAGACGAGUCCCUUUGGAAUUGUUUUUUUUUUUUUUUUUUUUUUUUUUUUUUUUAUUUGGGAUUUUUUUUAAUAAAAAAUAUAUUUAAAAAUAUAUAUAUUUUUUUCCCAUGGGAACUUGUCUCUGGGGUCCCCUUUAGGAAAUUUUUUUUUUAAAAAUAUAUUUUUUAAAAAAAAAAAUUUUUUUUNNNNNNNNNNNNNNNNNNNNNNNNNNNNNNNNNNNNNNNNNNNNNNNNNNNNNNNNNNNNNNNNNNNNNNNNNNNNNNNNNNNNNNNNNNNNNNNNNNNNAGAAACACCACACCAUACAGAUGCAAACCAUCUCAACUGCUCCAAUUGCGCACGCAAACCAGAGGAUGAACUGUAAUAACACUUCAUUUUCGUGGGCUUUUGCAUAAGAUUUUACUAGCUGCUCUGAGCGGUUGCCUGAGCAAUCUAACAUGAAUUCCUUAACCGGUUUUUCAUCCCAUUGAGAAUUUUUUUUUAAAAAUUUUUUUUUUAAAAAAAAAUAUAUAUUUUUUUUUUCCUGGGAAAUUGUUUUUUCAAGGGAAGGGUUCCCCUUUGGAAAUUUUUUUUUUUUUUAAAUUUUUUAAUAUAUAUUUAAAAAAAAAAAUUUUACCUGGGAACUUGUUUUUUGAAGAGACGGGUCCCUUUGGAAAUGUUUUUUUUUUUUUUUUUUUUUUUUUUUUUUUUAUUUGGGAUUUUUUUUAAUAAAAAAUAUAUUUAAAAAUAUAUAUAUUUUUUUCCCAUGGGAACUUGUCUCUUGAGUUCCCUUUAGGAAUUUUUUUUUUAAAUAUAUAUAUUUUAAAAAAAAAAAUAUUUUUUUUUACAUGGGAACUUGUCUCUUCAAGAAACGAGUUCCCUUUAGGAAUUUUGAGGAANNNNNNNNNNNNNNNNNNNNNNNNNNNNNNNNNNNNNNNNNNNNNNNNNNNNNNNNNNNNNNNNNNNNNNNNNNNNNNNNNNNNNNNNNNNNNNNNNNNNUUUUUUUAAAAAAAUAUUUUUUUAAAAAAAAUAUAUAUAUUUUUUUUCCAGGGAAAUUGUUUUUUCAAGGGAAGGGUUCCCCUUUGGAAAAGGUUUUUUUUUUUAAUUUUUUUAAAAAAAUUUAAAAAAAAAAAUUUUUCCCGGGGAAUUGUCUCUUGAAGAGACGAGUCCCUUUGGAAUUGUUUUUUUUUUUUUUUUUUUUUUUUUUUUUUUUAUUUGGGAUUUUUUUUAAUAAAAAAUAUAUUUAAAAAUAUAUAUAUUUUUUUCCCAUGGGAACUUGUCUCUUGAGUUCCCUUUAGGAAUUUUUUUUUUAAAUAUAUAUAUUUUAAAAAAAAAAAUAUUUUUUUUUACAUGGGAACUUGUCUCUUCAAGAAACGAGUUCCCUUUAGGAAUUUUGAGGAAUUGUUUUUUUUUUUAAUAUAUAUAUUUAAAAAAAAAUAAAGAGACGAGUUCCUUUUGGAAUUGUUUUUUUUUUUUUUUUUUUUUAAUUUGGGAUUUUUUUAAAUAAAAAAUAUAUAUUUUUUUAAAAAAAAAAUUUUCCCAAAGGGAACUCGUCUCUUGAAGAGACGAGUUCCCUUUAGGAAUUUUUUUAUUUUAUUUUUUUUAAUUUGGGAACUUUUUUUAAAUAAAAAAUAUAUUUAAAAAAAAAUAUUUUUUUUCAUAUGGGAACUCGUCUCUUCAGACGAGUUCCCUUUAGGAAUUUUUUUUUUUAAAUAUAUAUAUAUUUUUUUAAAAAAAAUAUUUUUUUUACAUGGAAACUCGUCUCUUGAAGAGAUGAGUUCCAUUUAGGAUUUUUUUUUAAAUAAAAAAUAUAUUUAAAAAAAAUAUUUUUUUUUCCCAUGGGAACUCAUCUCUUGAAGAGACGAGUUCCUUUUAGGAAAUUUUUUUUUUUUAAUUUGGGAUUUUUUUAAAAUAAAAAAUAUAUUUAAAAAAAAUAUUUUUUUUCCCAUGGGAACUAGUUCCCUUUAGUUCCAAAUUGUUUUUUUUUUUUUUUAAUUUGUGAAUUUUUAAAAAAAAUAUAUAUAUAUUUUUUUAAUGAGAACUCAUCUAUUGAAGAAACGAGUUUCCUUGAAGAAUUGUCUUUUUUUUUUUUUUUUUUAAUUUGAGAAUUUUUUUAAAAAUAUAUAUAUAUAUAUUUUUUCAUGGAACUCGUCUCUUGAAGAGACGAGUUCCCUUGAGUAAAUGGGGAAUUUUCUUUAAAAAAAAUAUAUUUUUUUUUUCAUGGAACUCGUCUCGUCUCUUGAAGAGACGAGUUCCCUUUUUUAAAAAAAUUUAUCCGUUCACCCUCUCUCCUCUCUCCUCUCUCCUUUCUCCUCUCUCCUAUGUGGCAAAAACUACCAUAUAUUUGUAAUAACUUCUUCUACUACAAUAAUUUAAGCAUAACUUUUUAAAAUUACUGUACUAUUGAGAAAAGUCCGCUUUCUGUACCUGUUCCGCCCAUUUAUGAUAUUUGUAAAAGAACAGAGUAAUUUUAAGUAGAAUAAUUGAGAAGCCAAAUCUUUUGAUACAACAUACAAUAUAAUUAUAUUGAAGUGUAAAAAGAUACAACUUGGUUGUAAGUUUUAAUCUCAACCUUCUCAAAUGUUAAGCAAAAAAUUAUUUAAUUUUUUUUUAAAACAAAUCUUUAAUAUUAUGUCACUGUAUUAAAGUAUUUCUUAAGAGGUAACUUGAUUACCAAAAGUUGAUAUUAUUUUUUAAUUCAAAUUUAUAAUUAUAAUUUAUAAAUAAAUUUUUAAUUAUUAUAAAAUACAAAACUUCUUACUUGAUCAAUUAGAAUGGAUGAUCAUUUAUUCCCUUAUAUCUCUUCAAUAUUGUUGCUACCCACGUGCCUAUUUUAUAUAAGAUAAAGAUUUUACUAAUAAAUAUUACAUAGAAUUUUGUUCCCAAUAUCUGUCCUUCAUUGCUUAGGAAAUUUUGAUGAAUGUGAAAGGGAAAUGGAAAAUUGUGGGUCACCAUAUAACAUAGAAGGACAAAAAUGGCAUUUUAUUGGUCUUGCAUAGAUGGAGGUGGAAAUGGGGCAACACAUCAAAUCUGACAUGGUGGAUGACAUGUAAAAUACAAUAUUAAAUAAUGAUUGAAAAUGAAAUGAAUCGAGUCACCCAGCAAAAGUCUAUUUUCAAGUAUUUCAUUAGAUUUUUUUUUUUCAACCCAGGACCUCUUUCUGUAAAUUUAUUAUUAAAAAUAUUUUAAUCCCUAACUUUUUGUGAGUGUCUUUUCGUAAACCUGUUGACCUAAACUAAUUGAGGUUAUGUUUGGCUUUCCCAAAAGAAACAAAAAUACUAAAAAUAUAAUGUUUUUUCUCUUAUUUAUAUAUUUUUAAAUUAUUUAAUCUAAAACAAUGAAAGGUAAAUAAAAUUUUAUAAAAAUAAUUUAUUAAUUUUAAAUUCUUAUUUUAUUUUUAUUCAUUUGACAUACCUUCGAUAAUUAGUAUAAAAUUAAUAUAAAUGUUUCAUAUAUAAUCAGUUUACAUACAAUAUAUAUUAUGUACAAACUUGAACAUAAUGAAUGAGAUAGUGUAUGUGCAUAAAGAAUGUACGUUAGUGCAUUGGUGUAAAAUUCAAUAAAGUGUUUUAUACAUAUUUUGUACAACUAGUAUACACCCUUUGUACAUUGUUAACAAGGGAAAAAAAAAAUAGAUAGAAGUGUAAGAGUAAAAUCAAUGUAUUCGUUUCGUUUGAAUCAAACAAGAAAAUUGAAAGAAAAUAUUUAAAAUAUAUUUAUGAUAGGGGCCUUGAAGUGUAUCUCGUUGGCAAUGCAUAUCUUUUAUUGAUCAAACACUUUUUUUGCUUAGCAAAGAGGUAGAAAAUGUUUUUCAAUGAUUUGACAUGAAAUUCAAAUAAGAAAACAAAAUGUUAACAAAUAAUUUCAAUUACUGAAAAAUAAUAUUUGCAAACAUUCAUUCUUGAUAGUUGAUUGGAUUUUAUAAUACUCGGAUGAAAAACAUAUAUAAUGUGAAACCUUGGACUCAUUUCACAGUCAAUUUCUUUAAAUUUUAAUAUUACAAACUAAACAUUUGUACAAAUGGUACAAGUUAGUAUCUUUUUAUGUAAUUAAUUAUUGUGAAGACAUUUUAUCUUUUUCAUUUACCCAAGAAUAAUCAUACUAAUAUAAACAAAUAAUUUUGAUCAUGCACAGAUAAAUAUUCUUCUUCUUCGCUCUAUCUCAUGUGGUUGGAUUUGGAGCAUGGACCGUUUGUAUUAUUCAAUUGUGGAAGACCAAUUUCAAUGAGUUGAAAGACCAAUGGGCCAUGGGGAGCAAUGUGGAGCAAGGGUGUUCCAUCUAGCAUUUGCAGAUGGUAAGCCCUUGAAUUUCCAAUUUUAGACACAAUGUAGGGUCUUUCCCAAUUUUCUUAGAGUUUCCCGGCUCCCUGUUCAACCGUAUUCUCAAAGACCUUUUUGAGGACUAGAGUCCCAACCUUGAAGGCACGUGAUCGGACUUUUCGAUUGUAGUGGGGCAACAACUCGUUGCUGGUAGGAUGCCAUCCAGAUGGAUGCGUUCUCUCUUGCUUCAUAUGAAUCCAGGUGUCUUUCAAGUUCCAUAUAUUCAUCUUUUUGGUCUUCAAUGGUAGUUCGGGUUGUGGGCAUACCUAUCUUUGUGGGGAUAACUGCAUCCAUCCCAUAGGUGAGGAUAAAAGGAGUGGUUCCCGUUGGUCGUCCGGGCGUUGUGCGAUAGGCCCACAAGACUCCGGGCAAUUCAUCAACCCACAUUCCUUUGGCUUUUUCCAACAUUUUCUUUAGUGUAGAGAACAAGGUCUUGUUUGUUGCUUCUACUUGUCCGUUACUUUGAGGAUACUGAGGACUGGAAUACAAUUUUUUUUAUCUUCAGCUCUGAACAAAAGGUUCUGAAGGCAAUGCUAUCAAAUUGUGGCCCAUUGUCAGCUAUAAUUGCCUGUAAAAUUGCGAACCGACAUACGAUGUUUUUCCAAAUGAACUUGAAAACGUCUUUGUCUUUGAUGUUGACAUAUGUUUCUGCCUCUACCCAUUUGUUGAAGUAGUCAGUGGCUACAAGUAGGAAUUUUUUAUGUGCGGCAGCGACGGGCAAGGGGCCAACUAUGUCUAUUCCCUAUUGCGCAAAUGGCUAAGGGCUUGUGAUUGGAUUCAGGACCUCAGAGGGCAUGCCUUUGGCAUUGAUCACACCUCUUAACGUAGUUCACAACGUCUUGCUUCAUGGUGGGCCAAUAGUAUCCUUAUGAAUGAGGACGAUGUGCCAAGGUUUGUCCUCCUAUGUGAUUGUCGCAUACGCCUUCAUGCAAUUCCGCCAAUACAUAUUGUGUUUCUAUAUCGUUUAGGCCCCUGAGGUAUGGUCCUCCAAAUGAUCGCCUGUAAAGGUUGUCCUUAAUCAAAGUGGAACAGGUAGCUUGUACUCGGAUCUUAUGAGCUUGUUUGCUUUCUUCAGGAAAAUCUCUUAUUUGGAGAUAUGUCUCAAUUUCGUUCAUCAGUCAACGUUUGCUUCAUUGGUAGUGCACACGGGUGUGACAACUAUGGAUGACGUAUCCUGGAUGUAGACGCGUAAUAAUACUGCUUCCUUCACAUAGAGAGUAGUUGUUAUUCCGGCUAAGGUGUCAACCUUGGUGUUUUCUGAGUGGGGGAUUCUCUUGAUGUCCCACUUGCUUAAUUUGUCCAGGCAAGUUUCUUACCUUUAAAAGGUACCGAGCCAUGCACUCGUCCUUAGCUUCAUAUUCUCUCUAAAUUUUCCCAACAACUAGUUAAGAGUCAUUUGCGUAUUUCAAGCUUGGACGGUGAGAAAGUCAGAGCAAGGCUAAGUCCGACGAAGAUUGCCUUAUACUCGACUUCAUUAUUAGAGGCUAGGAAUCUGAGCUGGAUAGCCUGUUCCAACUACUCUCCGGUCGGGGAUUGUAAGAGGAGGCCCAUUCUAUAUCAUAAAGCCCAGGAUGCCCCGUGAGAGCUUGGACCUUGAUGAGGUUUUUGGUGUGUUUUGGAUAUGAAGUCAGCCAUGACUCGCCCUUUCAUUGCCAGCCUGGGUUGAUACUUGAUUCUAUACUCACUUAGUUCAAUGGUCCACUUUACCAGUCUCCUGGAUAGGUCUGGUUUGUGCAGAAUGUUUAUGAGUGGUUGAUUUAUGAGUACAAUCACUUAAUGAGCUUAGGAAUAGGGAUGGGGCUUUUGCGCAACACUCCUCAAGGCUAAGGCUGUUUGUUCUAUCUUUGAAUACCGGGUUUCUGUGUCAACCAUUGCUUUGCUUACGUAAUAGACGAGCCUUUGCUCCUUGUCAUUUACGCAACAGAAUAAAACAACACUGACAACACAAUCAAACACUGCUAAGUACAUGUAUAAUUACUCACCAAGUUGAGGGCUACUUAGAAUGGGAGGCUAAGUAAGGUAGCGUUUAAUCUUCUCGAAUGCUAGCUCACAAUCACUUAUCCACCUUGUCACGUUAGCUUCUUUCAGUGUGAGGAAGAAGAACCUUAACUUGUCUGUAAAUCGGGUUAUAAAGUGUCCUAAUGCAACUAGUUGACACGUGAGGCGUUGCAAGUCCUUAUUACAAUUUGGGGUGAACGUCUCCAUGACGACCUUGAUUUGGUUCGGAUUGACUUCUAUCCCUCUUUGUGUAACCAUGAACCCUAAGAACUUGCCUGCAUUGACUCCAAAGGCGCACUUGGCUAGAUUCAGCUUCAUAUUGUACGCUUUCAUCAAACGAAAGGUUUCUUGUAAAUGCCAAGCGUGCUUGCUCCUGGUUUUGCUUUUUACCACAAUGUCAUCGAUAUAUACUUCCACAGUCUGGCCGAUUAAUGGCUUGAAAACUUUUGUCAUUAGUCUCUGGUAGGUGGCUCCGACAUUUUUAAGUCUAAACGACAUGACCUUGUAGCAAUAUAUUUCGUGUGGUAUCACAAAAGAGGUCUUCUCAUCAUUUGGUUGGAAUAUGGGAAUCUAAUGGUAACCGGAGAAAGCAUCUAUGAAAGAGAGUAUUCUAUGCCCAAUAGUGGAGUCGACUAUCUGGUUUAUCCAUGGCAAUGAGAAGCUAUCCUUCGGGUAGACAUCAUUCAGGUUGGUGUAGUCAACAUAGACUCGUCAUUUGCCUCUUUUUUUUGGGACGACCACCAUAUUUGCUAACCACUCUGAAUAUUCUACUUUCCUGAUAAACCCGGCCGCCGGUAAUUUUUCUACUUUGGAUUGGAUGAAUUUUUGCCUAUUCGGGUGGAAGUGUCGGACCUUCUGGCGGAUAGGUCGUGAGAAAAAGAUAAUAUUGAGCCGAUGUGAGGCUAUCGAUGGAUGAAUUCCGGGCAUAUCAGAAUGAGUCCAUACGAAGACGUCUUUAUUCUGCUAAAGUACCUCUUUCAAAGAUCUUGCUUCCUCCGUCGUGAGGAAGGAGCUAGCAUAGGUGAAACGAUUAUUUUCUUAUGAGAGUUGUAUGAUCUGCAGGGGGUCAGCUGCCGACGGAUCUCUUUCCAUCUGGCAUUGUAAUUGCUAUUGUUCCUUUGUACUAGUCGGUUCAGUAUGAGGCUCAGUAACGCUUGUGGAUCCGAAUUCUCGCGCCACCUGGUAACAUUGUAGUGCUGCUAAUUGGCUCCCAAAGAGGUUGACAUGUUCGUUCUCAGUUAAGUAGUUCACUAUUUGGUGAUAUGUAGAAGGGGUAACCUUCAUGUCGUGCAACCAGGUGCGUCCCAUGAUGGCGUUGAAAGGGGACAAGUCUUUCACAAUUGAGAAUUGCACAUUGAAGACCAUUGGUCUGACUUGGACGAGUAUUACAACAUCUCCAAGAGAAGUUGUUGAUGCUUCGUUGAACCCUGACAGUAUCCGCCCGAGAUUUUCUAAAGCAGACAGUGAGAAUCUCAUUUGCUUGAACGCAGACAUCUGUAAUAGGUCGGUUGAGUUGUCUAGGUCAACUAAGAUUCGCCUUACAUCAAACUCGCUGAUCCCCAAUGUUAGGAUGAGAACGUCUUGAUGUGGUUGUAACACCCGAUUGGGGUCUACUAAAGGAAAAGUGAUUGUCUCAUCUAUUAGGUGCACCCCCUCAUCAGCCAAUCCUGGUCAGAUUGAGCUAAUCCGCUCUCGUACGGAGGUGGCUCGGAGCAACCUUUGCCUCUUCCGCUUGGAGGUGUAUUCUUCAUUAACGGGCCCUCCAUGGAUGUAGUUGAUCAUGACUCUGGGAGCUGUUGAAGUUGUAGGGAUUUGGACGUCUGGGUUAUCUUUUGUCCGCGCUCGUCUCCUCUCUAAGCGGACAUACUGCUUUAGGUGUUCAGCUCUUACCAGUUUUUCCACUAGGUAAUGGAGACUUUUGCAUUUCUCUGUGGCGUGAUCAUGUUCCUUGUGAUAAGCGUACUUUCUACUCCAGUCCCGCUUAGCCGAAUUCGUCUUGAUUGGCUCUGGCCAUCCACAACCAGCUAGAUCUCGGAUUAGGUGGAGAAACUUGUCAUAUGAAAUGUUGAGGGGGGUAAUCUUGUCUUGGUUUGACUAAUGAUGUUUGUUUUGCCCUUUACCUGCCUGCCUUCGUUGGCUUGUAGUCUUAGAGCUCAUGGCUAAGUCUUUCCUAGUGGGUUGGCUAAUGACCAUAACCUGUUGGGUAGCUGUGCGGACAUUGUCCUUGAGCAUGGAGUACUUGUUUUCUCGUCUGAACAGAUCGUCCAUAGUCAUAGGAGGCUUUUUGGCAAGGGAUUUGAAGAAGGGUGUACCAAGACAGAUACUUUUUUUAAAGAUUUACAGGACUGUGUCCAUGCUGUAAGAUUAUACUUGGAGUACAGUCUGCCCGAACCGCUUCACAAACUCCCUCAGCGAUUCAUUCUCCUGCAUUUUUAUGUUCUAUAGGGUAUUGAUGUUUUGUUUAUGCCGUGUUGAGCACAUAUAUUGUCCCACGAGAGCCUCCGACAGAUCCCAAAAGUUAUCGACGAAAUUCAUCGAGAGACGGUGGAACCAUGAGAGAGUCUGACCUUGGAGGUUGGUUAGAAAGACCUUACAUAGUAGCGCAUCAUUCCCUAUGUCGAUGGCCAUGAGUUGCUUGUAGUGUAUGAUAUGGUCAAAUGGAUAAUUGGAUCUGUCAUACACAGAGAAUUUUGGAACUAUGAACCCUCUCGAGAGUUCGUAGCUAAUGAUGUCAGGGGUGAAAGACAUGGAGAACAUGUCAUCUAGUUGCUUAUUAACAGAGCCUAGAUGGCCUCUACUAGCCAAACCCUUUACUGGUUUUUGUGCUAGCAGAUAGGGGAGUCAAUCCGUAAUGACAAGUGUAGCUAAGAGGCUAAAAUAUGGCCCUUAGGCCAUUGCUUCAGGUGAUUCCCCCCAUGUUAGGCAGCUACGGCUCUAGCCUUGCGUGCAUUGCAUUUGAUAGUUGGGACUUCUUAUCGUGUCUUCUCUUUGUUGAGAUACGAGUGGAGUCUAAGCUUUCAUCUUGCUGCGCACGACAGGCUAGUGGGAAUCUUUGUUUAGGCAUUCUUUUUGGUUCAUUAGAGGGGAACUCUGCAUUCCCAAGGUAUGUUGUCUCCUUGUUUUGCCUUGAGUUCAUUCGUUGACUUCUAGGUUGUCGGCUACAAGGAGGGCCUGACGAGGACACCUGAAUAUGUAACACGUCGUUUUCUUCUCUAAGUCUUCUUGUCUCUUAGAGCAAGGCCUGUACUUGUCAUUCACUCUCUCACUGGCGUAUUUCCAUACUUGCACGCCAAUCAAAAUAACUCUCAUCACCCAUGGUUGACGAUUGACUUUUUGAGAGUGUUGACAUUUUUGUUCGUUCCCAUAGACAACGCCAAUGUCGAUACCUUAUCAACUGAGGAUGGAUUCCUCCCUUAGUUGUGGCAAGAGAAGUUUCCUUUCAAAUGCUGGAAUCUAGACUCCUUGCUUCCCUGCACAAAAAUGCUCUGAUCGGUUGUCCGGGCAUACCCUUCAAAGCUCAAGUCAAUCGAGAGAGAGAGAGAGAGAGAGAGAAAGAGAGAAAGAAAGAAAGAAAGAGCUCACAGUGUCCUCAUCCUCUUGUUCUUCUUCAAUCGUGUUUUUUAUAAUGCUUUAAGGUAAAGGAAGACUCAACGAUGCUGAGUUGGCUCAUACAAUGAUGAUUUGCGCAGUAGAGAUAGGAGCAAUCAUCAUAUCUACAGGGCAACUGGGGGGUUGUGUCAGACGACGCUUCAUGACAGAGCUUGCCAUCCUUUCCACCUUGAUGAUGCCCUAAGGUCUUGUCUAUUGACGCAGACAUGAGGAUGGAAAGAGUCUCAUCACUCAGUUUGAUGUCAAUCAGUCAUGGUCUCAUAUACCAAAGAAGACUUGAGGCUAUCAGGAGAGUACGAGUCGCUUAGUGGCGUAAAUGGUCCAGACAGGAGGUUCCCCGAAUGUCUUGGAAGUUGUCCGGACAGUGAUGAGAAAUGUGACAUAUGGACUAGCCGAAACGAUGUCAUGUGGACAGACGCAUGGAAGUAUUUUGUAGGUGGACACGUGAGAGAAGACCUCUACAUUAGGGUCAAACUUUCUUUGUGUUCUUCCCGGCCAUCUUCACAAGGCUUUGAUUGACGACCCUCGGCAACCGUUCUUCUAGCAGUUCACACAAGUGAUGCUUGCACCAUUGGUCUUGCUUCUUCUCAAUCUGCUUCUAUCUUCCCCAAGUUCGUCAGCUACUGUUUCCACUUGGAGUGCUUAUGAGCCAAAAUCUGACCCACGGUUGAAAGGAAAAUUAACAAUUAUUGAAGUGGACAAAGACUUUUGACCUCAUUUGUGGACGCUAGUCGUUUUUCCAAAUAUGAGGCCGGAGCUAGGUACUUGGGGCAUUCAUGUUCCAUCAUCAUCAUUAAUAUUAUUGCAGGUAGCUUUCCUCUUUCCAUGGGAAUUUCUACCCUCCACAUAAAUCAUGUAUGAAUAUAUUUUUUUUUUAAAUGAUAUAGACACUAUGUUUAAUGUAAGACUAUAUAAAAUUUAAAUAUUAUUUUUAAUAAUAUGAAGUCAAGCUAGCCCUUGAGGUUGGAUGCAUCUCUAAUGUCUUUGCAGCGUCAAAUAAAAUACUUGAUGGUGGCAUGUUGUGUUGGACCCUUGUAGUUGUUGGCUGUAUAGGGCGGAUCAGCUUGAUUAGCUUUUGUAGCAGAUUGUAAGCGUGGCUCUCAAAAUCUUAAGAUAUAGAAAUGAAAUUUACUCUAAUAAUAUAUAUAGACACAUAAAGAUAAAAAUAUACUAUUAUCCUUUUUUCAUAUAGUAUUGUAUCUUGUUUAGAAUACAUAAUCACUCUAAGUAAUUGUAUUACCCAAUAAAUUAUACCUAAUUUUAGAGACGGAACCAACAAUUUGAUCUAAGGGUGGCGACUUUUAAUACAUAUGUGGGUUUAGCCCAAUAGUCAAGACUUAUUAUUAUUGUUAAGGGAGACAUUAUUAGGUUUGAGUUUAAAUCCUCCUAUUGUCAGAAUUGAAUAUUUUAUUUUUUAACAUUUUCACAAGGGGAGAUGGCUCCCCUAGGCCCUACCUGGCUCCGGUGCCUAAUUUAUUGAUUGAUGGUGUUUGAAUCUAUUUAUUUUUUAUUCUUAACAUUUUCAAGGGUAGGUGCCCCUUAGGCCCAAUCUAACUCUACUAAUAUCUAGUUUAUUGAUUGAUGGUGUUUGAAUCUAUUCAUUCUAAAAAAAAUUUAUUUUUUAUUUUAGUUAAGAUUUUAUUUAAAUUAUUAAGUUAGUUUUAAAUUGCAUGCACUAUUAAUUUAUUAUUUCAAGUACAAUAAAAUAAGAAAAUAAUAUACUCUAUCCUACUAAAUAAGUUCAUUCAACAGUAUUUCAAAAAGUAACUUUCAAAUGAUAUAAGGAAGUUACAAAAUUAAACCCAAAAAAAAUUCUCUCUGGGUUAAGUUAUAUCUUAUAUUUAAUUAUUAAUAAAAAUAGAAUAGAAAAAUUGUACUUUUAUUCGUACCCCAUAUUACCAUAUUGGAUGAUAAGUCGGUAAAGGUAGAUUAAUAAUAUGAUUGGUUUCAAAAAAACUAUUAAGAAAAGAAAAAAAAUAUUAAAAAAAUAGGUUUUUAAUAUCUUAUUUUAAUAUGAAAAAUAAAAAAUAAGAUAUAAUUAAAAUUAAUUAAAAACCUAUAUAUAUAUUUAAAUUAUUUGAUAUUUAUAUAUAAAAAAAUAUAUUAACUUGAAUGAGUUUAAGAUAGUAUAUAAAAUAAUUUAUUAAUUUAAUUUUUUUUUCUUUUACUUUUACAUGAUACUUAAAAAGGUAUAUAAAUAAAGAAAAAAUAUACUAAAUAAAAUAAAUUUAUUUAUAUAUAAAAAUAAUUUAUUAAUUUAAAAUCUAUUUUUAUUUCCUUUAACUUUUCUUUCUUUCUUUUUUUUUUUCUUAUAUUUCUUUUUUUUUUUUCCCUAAACCAAACAUAAAAUACAAACACAGGUGUAAAGUUUGUAUCUUUGUGAAACUCAUGUAAUACUGACCCAUGUAACCUUCCCAUACAAUUAAUUUCCUGCAAAGGAAGGCGGCAACAUGUCAUUGGGUGAGUGUCUUAGGAGACAAAAUCUGACCGGCGGUUGAAGGGAGAAUGCACAAUUAUUGAAGUGGACGGAGACUUUUAACCUUAUCUGUGGAAGCUGGGUCAUUUUCAAAACACGAGGCUGCAGCUUGGAACCUGGGGCAUUCAUAUUCCAUCAUCAUCAUUGUUAACAUUUUUAUUCCAUCUUGCUUUCAUCUUCCCAUGGGAAUUUCUACUAUCCGCACAAGUCAAGAGCGACUUUGUCUUUUCCAUAAAUAUUAGUACUAUUUGUGUGUUCCUUCCCACAAUUUGAUUCAAGCUCAGCCCUACGGCCUUUUCAACUGAUCCAAUUUCAUAGAUUACAUGGAUGCGCCAGUUCUUUUGCUUCUUCUCACUCUGCUUCUAUCUUCUCCACUUCCAUCGUCCAACCUCGACAGUUUGAGUCAAGGCUCAUCCCUCUCAGUUGGGAAGCCUGAACAAGUUUUGAUUUCACAAAGUGGAAUCUUCUCAGCUGGCUUCUACCCCGUCGGUGAUAAUGCUUAUUGUCUUGCCAUAUGGUUCACCAAACCAUCCUACGACGGCAAACAUACCGCUGUUUGGAUGGCAAACCGAAACCAACCAGUUAAUGGGAAUUUCUCAAAGCUUUCGCUGCUAGAAAGUGGUGAUCUUAUCUUAACAGAUGCUGGGCGGUUCAUAGUUUGGACCAUAAAGAGGGUUGGGAUUUCUCCGGUGCAAUUACACCUCUUCAACACUGGUAACCUUGUGCUGCGUACCUCGGAUGGUGUUAUUCAAUGGCAAAGUUUCGAUUCACCAACAGAUACCCUUCUCCCUCACCAACCACUCACCAGAAAUACGAGACUUGUCUCUUCAAGAACCAAAACCAACUUUUUCUCAGGGUUUUAUAAGUUCUAUUUUGACAACAAUAAUGUCCUCAUUCUUGUCUUCGAUGGGCCGGACGCUUCAGGCAUUUACUGGCCCCCAUCGUGGCUUGUAAGCUGGCAGGCGGGAAGAUCGGCAUACAACAGUAGCAGAACUGCGUUACUAGAUUACUUUGGCUAUUUUUCUUCAACCGACGAUUUGAAGUUUCAGUCCUCGGAUUUUGGUGAGAGAGUCCAAAGAAGAUUGACCCUGGAUAUUGAUGGCAACUUACGAUUAUACAGUUUUGAGGAAGGGAGAAAUAAGUGGGUUGUUACUUGGCAAGCCAUCACGCUACAAUGCAACAUUCAUGGAAUAUGCGGACCCAACAGUAUUUGUACCUAUGUGCCUGGUUCUGGGAGUGGAAGGAGAUGCUCUUGCAUACCUGGAUAUGAGAUGAAAAAUCGCACUGACCGAACUUAUGGAUGCAUUCCUAAAUUCAAUCUUUCUUGCGACUCACAGAAGGUUGGUUUCCUCCUACUCACACACUUUGAGUUCUACGGCUAUGAUUAUGGCUAUUACCCCAAUUACACC